rnacentral:rRNA from 1 species
UACGGAGGAUGCGAGCGUUAUCCGGAUUUAUUGGGUUUAAAGGGUGCGUAGGCGGAAUAUCAAGUCAGCGGUAAAAAUUCGGGGCUCAACCCCGUCGUGCCGUUUGAACUGGCGCGCUUGAGUUCAGGCGAGGUAGGCGGAAUUCGUGGUGUAGCGGUGAAAUGCAUAGAUAUCAGGAGGAACAUCGGUGGCGUAAGCGCUUUACUGGGCCGUAAUUGACGCUGAGGAACGAAAGCCAGGGUAGCAAAUGGG